GAUCGAGUUUGAUCCUGGCUCAGGAUGAACGCUAGCGGCAGGCUUAACACAUGCAAGUCGAGGGGUAGAAGUUGCUUGCAACUUUGAGACCGGCGCACGGGUGCGUAACGCGUAUGCAAUCUACCUUAUACAGAGGGAUAGCCCAGAGAAAUUUGGAUUAAUACCUCAUAGUAUUAUGAAAUGGCAUCAUUUUAUAAUUAAAGUCACAACGGUGAAAGAUGAGCAUGCGUCCCAUUAGCUAGUUGGUAAGGUAACGGCUUAUCAUGGCUACGAUAGGUAGGGGCCUGAGAGGGUGGUCCCCCACACUGGUACUGAGACACGGACCAGACUCCGUGCGGGAGCAGCAGUGGG
rnacentral:rRNA from 1 species